CCUACGGGAGGCAGCAGUAGGGAAUCUUUCACAAUGGGCGAAAGCCUGAUGGAGCAACGCCGCGUGCAGGAUGAAGGCCUUCGGGUUGUAAACUGCUUUUAUAAGCGAGAAAUAUGAUGGUAACUUAUGAAUAAGGAUCGGCUAACUACGUGCCAGCAGCCGCGGUCAUACGUAGGAUCCGAGCAUUAUCCGGAGUGACUGGGUGUAAAGAGUUGCGUAGGUGGCAUAAUAAGUAGCUAGUGAAAUCUGGUGGCUCAACCAUUCAGACUAUUAGCUAAACUGUUAAGCUCGAGACCGUUAGGGGUAACUGGAAUUUCUAGUGUAGGAGUGAAAUCCGUAGAUAUUAGAAGGAACACCAAUAGCGUAGGCAGGUUGCUGAGACGGUUCUGACACUAAGGCACGAAAGCGUAGGGAGCAAACGGGAUUAGAUACCCGAGUAGUC
rnacentral:rRNA from 1 species